rnacentral:tRNA from 1 species
GAGAUAAUAGUAUAAAAUUGCGUAUAUUUCUCUUUCGAAGAAAAGGAGUUUUAUCUUA